UUUCCGUAGGUGAACCUGCGGAAGGAUCAUUCAUAAUAAGUGUUUUAUGGCACUUUUUUAAAUCCAUAUCCACCUUGUGUGCAAUGUCAGGGUUGAUUUUUCUCUCGAGAGGAUCAACCCCAAACAUCAACUAUAUCUCAACUCUUUGUCUGAAAAAUAUUAUGAUAAAACAAUUCAAAAUACAACUUUCAACAACGGAUCUCUUGGCUCUC
rnacentral:misc_RNA from 1 species